rnacentral:rRNA from 1 species
CCUACGGGGGGCAGCAGUGGGGAAUAUUGCGCAAUGGGCGAAAGCCUGACGCAGCGACGCCGCGUGAGGGAUGAAGGUCUUCGGAUCGUAAACCUCUGUCAGUAGGGAAGAACGGUCACUGUGCUAAUCAGCAGUGAAUUGACGGUACCUGCAAAGGAAGCACCGGCUAACUCCGUGCCAGCAGCCGCGGUAAUACGGAGGGUGCGAGCGUUAAUCGGAAUUACUGGGCGUAAAGCGCUCGUAGGCGGUAUGUCAAGUCAAGGGUGAAAUCCCCGCGCUCAACGUGGGAACUGCAUUUGAAACUGGCAAACUGGAGUGUGUGAGAGGGUAGUGGAAUUCCAGGUGUAGGAGUGAAAUGCGUAGAUAUGUGGAGGAACAUCAGUGGCGAAGGCGACUAUCUGGCACAUAACUGACGCUGAGGAGCGAAAGCGUGGGUAGCAAACAGGAUUAGAUACCCCAGUAGUC